rnacentral:misc_RNA from 1 species
UUGUGGAGGAGGACGCCGAAGGUGGGGCUAAUGACUGGGGUGAAGUCGUAACAAGGUAGCCGUACCGGAAGGUGCGGCUGGAUCACCUCCUAACAGGGAGACAACAAAAUGUUUAAUAUUAUUAUUUUGUCACCUUAGGUCGAUCGGUAUCUCACGUUUUUAAUUUAUUAAGAAUUUCAUUUCCUAAGUUUUCUAGGUCACACCCAUUAUUUUCCUGGGCCAUUAGCUCAGGUGGUUAGAGCGCACCCCUGAUAAGGGUGAGGUCCCUGGUUCAAGUCCAGGAUGGCCCAUAUCUCUAUGUUGGGGGUAUAGCUCAGUUGGUAGAGCGCCUGCUUUGCAAGCAGGAUGUCAGCGGUUCGAGUCCGCUUACCUCCACUGAUUACCACCUCUUCCAUAACUGGUAGAAAGGAAAUGUUUUGAGUUGUGAUCAAAUUCUGAAAGAAUCUAGCUUCCUAAUGAAAUCAUUAAGAUGCUGGACUCAUUGAAUUAAUUUCAUUGUUUUCAGAGAACCUUGACAACUGCAUAGAUUAUUUUUAAAGACAAUAAGCAUCUUUAAUGAUGCAGAUUUAUUAUUUGUGCGAAUGCAUUAAUAACAAUUCUAUUAAGCUGAUGCUUCAAUUUUGAAGUUAUUGGUCAAGCUACAA